rnacentral:rRNA from 1 species
UACAGAGGUCCCAAGCGUUGUUCGGAUUCACUGGGCGUAAAGGGUGCGUAGGUGGUCGGGUAAGUCUAAUGUGAAAUCUCCAAGCUCAACUUGGAGACUGCAUCGGAUACUAUUCGGCUAGAGGGUUGGAGGGGGGACUGGAAUACUUGGUGUAGCAGUGAAAUGCGUAGAUAUCAAGUGGAACACCAGUGGCGAAGGCGAGUCCCUAGACAACUCCUGACACUGAGGCACGAAAGCUAGGGGAGCAAACAGG